rnacentral:rRNA from 1 species
CCUACGGGAGGCAGCAGUGGGGAAUAUUGGACAAUGGGCGCAAGCCUGAUCCAGCCAUGCCGCGUGAGUGAUGAAGGCCUUAGGGUUGUAAAGCUCUUUUGCCUGGGAAGAUAAUGACGGUAAGGGGAGAAAAAGCCACGGCUAACUUCGUGCCAGCAGCCGCGGUAAUACGAAGGUGGCAAGCGUUGUUCGGAUUUACUGGGCGUAAAGCGUACGUAGGCGGUUUAACAAGUCAGGAGUGAAAUUCCAGGGCUCAACCCUGGAAUUGCUUUUGAAACUGUUUUACUUGAAUCCGGUAGGGGUUGGCGGAAUUCCCAGUGUAGAGGUGAAAUUCGCAGAUAUUGGGAGGAACACCAGUGGCGUAAGCGGCCAACUGGACCGGUAUUGACGCUGAGGUACGAAAGCGUGGGUAGCAAACAGGAUUAGAUACCCUGGUAGUCCACGCCCUAAACGAUGUGUGCUAGUUGCUGGAGAUUUCAUCUUCAGUGACGCAGCUAACGCAUUAAGCACACCGCCUGGGGAGUACGGUCGCAAGAUUAAAACUCAAAUGAAUUGACGG